GUUGGUAUAGCUCGGUGAUACAGCAUGUGCUUAGCAUGCAUGAGGUCCUAGGUUCAAUCCCCAGUACCUCCA
rnacentral:tRNA from 1 species